UAUUUACAUAGUUUUCUAAGUAAAAAAUGGAUUCAAUUUCAAGAAACACACAAAAAGCAUUUCAGGACAAUUCUGGGUUAAAUAUUAUUUUUCUAGAAAGAUAUUUUUAAUAUGCCUUGAAAACCACUCUGAACUGAAUUCAAAAUGAAGAGAAGGCAAAAAAGUUUUCAACCAGAAGAGCUUCAUUGCAAUAUGGUCUAUUCCUCCAAAGUUAAUAUUGUAAAGUUCAAUAUUCAUUGGAGUCUAUAAGCUUGGUAUGCUUAUAGAAAUAAUCUGUCACAUUGUAAUCACAUUUAAUACAUUUCACUAAUUGUGUCUUUAUGGCUUAAUGGAGUUAUUUUUUCACCAAAAGUAUUCAGCUUAAACAACAUUAAUGAGAUCAAGCUUAAUUUCCAACAGACUCAGUGAAAUGAAAAAUGAGGUUAGCUUGAUUAAACGCAUUGGCCAAAAGGCCAAACUAAAUCCUUUUUAAGGAGAAUUCAAUGUCUCUGUUCUGUUCUCUUAAGACCUGGCACUCAUGUAGUUUGUUUCAAAAAAUAAGUUUUUAAUUAUUAUUUCUUUGUAUGCGUCUCUGCUGACAUUUACCAGCCUUCACUCUGGCUUAUCUCUCUGUGACUCGGUUUCCUAUUUUGUACAAUGGGAAUAAGAAUAAUUACUUUGUGUUAUUUUUCAUAGCUUUAAAUCCAUCAUAAUGCAUAGCAGAGUGCCUCACAUAUAGUAAGCACUUGAUAAAAUGUAGAUAUAAUCAGUUUUCUAUGUAAUUAUUUAUUUAAUUACAUACCCCUGCCCCAUCUUUUCUCUCUCUUAUCUUCUUGGAAAUAUUGUCUUCUAAUAUCAUUUGCAAAUAUUUUAUCUCAUGCAUGUCCAUCUUCAUUUCUCAUUGUUGGCCUAUUCUUUCUUUAAAUAUGUUUACAAAUUCAGUUUAUUUACGGUCAUACUUCACAGAAUGAGAGCCAGUUUGUCUUUUUCAGUUGUUCUUUCAUAUUUAAAGCCGACUUAUUGAACGAGGUGAAGUAAGCUAGCAGAAGUCAUGUUUAAUUUUUGUUUUACUCACGUGUCUUUUAAGUGUGUUUUGUCAAAUCACCUUCUGUCAAAUCACCCUGAGAUUCCUCAGAAUCUCAGGAAUAUCUCUGAGUUUUCUGCAUACCCUCAUUUACUAACACGCUGCAGCAGUCACAGAUGUUAAAGAGGCAUAGUCAAGUCUAAUGUUCAAACCUCAGUUGUUCCUGACUUGGGUUUUAUGAGACUGCAGUGGGGAGGGAGUGGGCAUGAUAGGAUUAUCAUGUUUAGCUCAUUUUCACCUUUACUUUUUCUCCUUAUUUGCUUUUAAUCUCCUGGUCCCAAAAUGACAAAAGAAAGCACAGGGAAGGAGGAGCAAGGACCCUGUGGUUCCACUAAAGAGGUGUGAAACCUCUUCAGUGUUCUGCUUUAUAAAGCUCUUUUGUGAAUUUUUGAGGCUGUCUUGGAAAACUUCCACUGUAUUUCUUUCUAAUACAAGAGAUUCAUUUUCUUCUGGAUGACCUUUCUCACACACUCCCCGGUAGUCUUACUGAUAUGAUGACUCUGAUUGGUAGCUGAUUUACUUGGGCUGGUGUAUUUUCUAGGUAAUUCGAAUUCAGCUAACUUCCAUGGGGUCCACCUGAGUCUUGAGAAGAACUGCCAGAAUCUGGAAGGCCAAGCUGCUCUCUGCAUCCUCUUAUCACUGGUAUAACUAGACCACCUCCAAGAACCAAGAUACUAUGCAAAACUAG
rnacentral:lncRNA from 1 species